rnacentral:lncRNA from 1 species
CUGCUUACAAAUAUCUUCCCCUACUCUCAAGGGACAUGAUCUAAAUAUGAACCAUCACAGGCACCGAGAUUUUUGGCUAGAAACUCCUCCUACUGACACAGUAUCCUGUUCCCUGAGGUGAGCCAGAGGCAUUCUUUCCAUAGCCUCUUCCUCAGAAGAGAGGCAGAAGCACUCACUGGCUUUCGCGGUGCUGGCCUGGGUUUUAAUACCAAUCUAGCCUCUCAGUGAUUGAGCCAAGAAUAAAGCUUAGCAAGUGGGAUCUACCCUCUGGCUGUGUAAUAAAGACCUGAAGAAAGCCAGCACAACUGGGCUCGCCAGUUAGCAGCUGGAGAGCUUGGAGUUUUGCUUCUCCUCAGUUUCUCAAUCUAUGAAGGAUCAAUAAAAGCAUCAUUCCCCAGAAUAAGUUCUGAAGUGAAUGAGACAAUGAUGUAAAUAACCCGACUCAAAGAGUAGCAUAGAGGAUGUAGCUAGCGACUGGGAGCUGUUGCUGCUGUAACUGCCCAGAAGUCAGUCAUUCUGCCCUCCUCUAAAUAGCUAACUGCUGCAUCCAAUCAGUUUCCAAACCCUAUUGAUUUUUAUGUAUUUUGCAUUGUUCUAAUAUAGAUGCCUUUCUG